UAUACCCGGCCGUCGGGG
rnacentral:snRNA from 1 species